GAAAAACAUCUCUUUUUGUUUAUAUAUAAAGUAUGACCUGCCCACUGAUUUAUUUGAAGGGCCGCGGUAACCUGACCGUGCAAAGGUAGCAUAAUCAUUAGUUUCUUAAUUAGAGGCUGGAAUGAAUGGUUGGACGAAAUAUGAGCUAUCUCAUUAUUUUUAUUAGAAUUUAAUUAUUAAGUAAAAAAGCUUAAAUAUUGUUAUGGGACGAGAAGACCCUAUAGAGUUUAAUAUUGUAAUUUUUAGAUUAGUUUUGUUUCGCAAUAUUAAUUAUAAUUUUUUGUUGGGGUGACAGGAAGAUAUAAAUAACUCUUUUUAUUGAUAAAUAUUAAUUUAUAGAAUUUUGAUCCAUUUAUAAUGAUUAUAAGACUAAAUUACCUUAGGGAUAACAGCGUAAA
rnacentral:rRNA from 1 species